GAUGAACGCUGGCGGCGUGCCUAAUACAUGCAAGUCGAGCGAACAGACGAGAGUGCUUGCACUCUCUGACGUUAGCGGCGGACGGGUGAGUAACACGUGGGUAACCUACCUAUAAGACUGGGAUAACUUCGGGAAACCGGAGCUAAUACCGGAUAAUAUUUAGCUUCGCAUGAAGCAAUAGUGAAAGACGGUUCUGCUGUCACUUAUAGAUGGACCCGCGGUGUAUUAGCUAGUUGGUGAGGUAACGGCUCACCAAGGCAACGAUACAUAGCCGACCUGAGAGGGUGAUCGGCCACACUGGGACUGAGACACGGCCCAGACUCCUACGGGAGGCAGCAGUAGGGAAUCCUCCGCAAAGGACGAAAGUCUGACGGAGCAAUGCCGCGUGAGUGAAGAAGGUGUUCGGAUCGUAGAACUCUGUUGUAAGGGAAGAACAAGUACGUUAGUAACUGAACGUACCUUGACGGUACCUUACCAGAAAGCCACGGCUAACUACGUG
rnacentral:rRNA from 1 species